rnacentral:rRNA from 1 species
GAUGAACGCUGGCGGCGUGCUUAACACAUGCAAGUCGAACGAAGCACUUUAUUUGAUUUCCUUCGGGACUGAUUAUUUUGUGACUGAGUGGCGGACGGGUGAGUGACUCGUUGGUAACCUGCCUUGUACAUGGGGAUAACAGUUGGAAACGGCUGCUAAUACCUCAUAAGCGCACAGCAUCGCAUUAUUCAGUUUGAAAAACUCCGGUGGUAUAAGAUGGACCCGCGUUGGAUUAGCUAGUUGGUGAGGUAACGGCCCACCAAGGCGACGAUCCAUAGCCGACCUGAGAGGGUGACCGGCCACACUGGGACUGAGACACGGCCCAAACUCCUACGGGAGGCAGCAGUGGGGAAUAUUGCACAAUGGGCGAAAGCCUGAUGCAGCCACGCCGCGUGAGCGAAGAAGUAUUUAGGUAUGUAAAGCUCUAUCAGCCGGGACGAUAAUGACGGUACCUGACUAAGAAGCACCGGCUAAAUACGUG